GAAAGCGCAGAGAGGUGAGAUUGGCUUCGCAUGGAGCAAUUUUCUUUGGGAUCUCUGCAAUUAUGCAUCUGAAACCAAGGUAAAAGAAAUAUUUGUAUAUGUUAAAAGAGCGGCAUGUGGUUGCAGGAUCAAUUCAGAGACUAAUAAGGAGGUAGUUACGAUCACAGGAAAAUCCAACAUCCAACUUGACUGAGCACAGCAUGCUCCCAGUCUUCUCCGUCUCAAACAGCAGAAUGUACUCGCAGGGUUUAACCAAGAGGAGAGAGAAAAGGUUAAUGACGCUCAGUGGGAAAUCAAAGAUCACAGAUAGUUUCACAGGAAAUGGAAUAGAGAGGUACAGGGGUGGAGAAGGAUGGUGAAUAUGAGAGGGAACAGAUGAUGACAUCCUGAGAGAAAAAUACAGCAAGAGAGAGACAGUCCUAGAAAUAAAGAUGACAGACAAACAGAGCUCUGAAAUGCAGGGUGUUGAUUAUCUCCUGUUCACAUUAGAGCCCACACAGACCAUUAGAUGCGAGCCCAGCUUGAAUCAAUUUAAAGAUGGUCUAUUCAGGAAAAUCUUGAGUGGCAUGCACAGAGCACUCAGCCUCUUACAACACAAAACAUCUCAGCGGCAAAUAGAAGUGAGGAUGUGCGAGGGUGUCUUGUUGGGAUGCAUGGACAGGUGCGAAAAAAGGCAGAAUUUAGGUCAGCAAGUAUUAUGAAGGGUGUGGUGUUGUUUUGGACAAUGUUAGAGAGGGAAAGGAGGGAAAGAGAGAUAUCUGGAACAAGGGAGGGUUGGAGGAGGAGUGGAGCGAGGCUGGCACUAAUGACGGGUGUGCCCAGGGCCACACAAGUACAGCUGUCUCCCCUCCCAACUUCAGCAAUGUCAGAUCGGCAUAAUAAAAGCCAGUGUGUUAGUAUGUGCUCGCAGGGAACAGCUGGGUGGCUUGGCCAAAAAGGAGAGAAAAAAAAGGGAAACGAGGAAGAGGAGAAUUGUGCAUCGCUGAAUCCUAUCAGCUCUGCCUUCAGCUGGAAGAGUUUCUUGAACCAAUACAAGAGAUGCUUAAGGAGAGGAUCGUUUUGAAAGCAGCUAAAAGAACAAUAUCUUCGACUCAAUUAGCUCAUUGGCCUGGAGUGAGGGGAAAGGUGGGACUGACUACCUGUGGCCCUAGAGGGGAGGUGGUCUGUCAUAGACUGUCACAGUAAAACUAAAACUUUUUGAUGAAAUAAAAAGAUACUCAAAAUUUUAUGAGGAGAAUGAGUUCAUAAGUUUAUGGAUAAACGGCGCCCCUCUUGUAUACAUGGGUAUCUACUGCACUCCAAAGAUAUUCACGCAGUAAGACAGUACUGUUUAAGUGUUAUUACCCACUGUUGCUGCAAGAUGGAGUGUGCUGCUUGUGAAUCUUUCUGCAGGACAUAAACAGUAUCGCUACACACUGUGCUGUAAUAUGAAGCCAUGCUAUCAACAUGCUCUUCUGCUUUUGUGAAUAUUUGCAAUAUUGAACCCAAAUUCUUUUAGAGAUGUACCCCUACCAAAUGGUGGGGAAUGGAUGGGGAUCAAUUUUCUCCUCUAUGUUUACACUUCUACCAGACUGAAACUCGGCUUAAUGCUCUGCACAUGCAUGAGAGUUUGCACACUGGGCUUCAUCUCAAAAGUUGAACAGCAUAAAGGAGUUGCUGGGAAACACUAAACCAAACAUAGACCGAUAAAGAAGGGACAUGGAAGGAAAAACUGUCUAAGGAACAGAGCUUUUAAAAUGAAAAUGUUUUCAUCUUACAACAUAAAUCAAGUAAGCCACUAGUUAAUGUGCUUAGUUAAUUGUAUUCGAACGUAACAGGUAGUGAUGAAAGACAACAUGUCGCAGGGCUCUCAAGUCUCACGCAUUCAGCGUGAGACACACGCAUUCCCACCUGUUCACACGCUCACACGCCGCACAUUGUAUUUCUCACGCAUUUAAAUGAACAUGGUGAUGUCCACCAAGUUGCACCUCUUCAACUAUGGAACAGGGGGAAAUCAACGGAGUUUCUCCGAGAGUUCAGAAGCUGCGUGCCACGCGCAAGCCAAUCAAAUAAAGUAUAUCUACUGAACAGCCAAUCAAAAAGCAGCAUUGCUGUAUCCGGGUAGAUUUUGAUAUCUUGCGGUUUGACUACAGAAGAAGACAGACACUUGCUGAAAUAGAGCAGGUUUUUAUAAGGACGAGAUAGACCCGAUGAUUACAGUAAGUCAGUAACCUACACAUGCAGAGACCUCAACACCUCAUGGCAGAUAAACUCAUAUGAUAAACUAAAGCCCUAUGCUAUUGCUAUUAACAGCUGCAUUGAUGAAUUUAGCCUCUGUACAGCCAUUUCCCCUCCACAAAAGCAGCAUUUCUCAUAUAUUCUUUUUAAAGUUCUGAUACUCGUGACAGUGUAAUGCUGAUAUACCAAAGGAUUAAGUAUCUCCAUGUCUGUGAAACCUGUACUAAAGUACAAUUCAUCUAAAUGCUCCUCAGUGCUGAUUUUAACAACUCUCCUCCACAACAGGUAACUUGACUACUUUAUUCUUAAAGUCAUUAAUGACUUUAUUCUCCUAAAUAAUAACUUUAAUCUCAAAGAUUUAAAAAUGUUUUUUUCUUUCUUAAUGUGGCCCUCAUACUCCAUUGUAUUUAUUAGAUUAUUAUACUAAUAAUUAUCUUCAAUCACUGUCCAACCCCCCCCCCCCCCCAAGGAAAUCUCACUCUAAGCUUAGUUCAAAACUUGAGAGCCCUGAUGUCGCCACUUGCGGGCGGGCAUGCGUCUGUCAGCUGCGUUUACAUGGGGGCAAGUAAUCGGAAUAAAUGCGCGAUCGGGAUAAAAAAAGCGUCAUGUAAACAUGUCGAUCGGAAGAUUCUGAUCCAAUUCGUCUCAUUCGGAAAGAAAUUGUAUUCCGAGCAAGAGGGGUCGUUUAUGCCGAUCGUUAUUGCGAAACGUGUCCAUGUAAACACUUAUUCUGAUCAUGACUCUCUUACCUCACUCUGUCUUCACUCCUCAGCCUUUGGUUUAUUUGUUGAGGCCAGUUCAGGAGCUUUCAUUAUCAACACUCUGGCAUAAAACACAACCGCAGGCGCCAUGUCUGCUCUUCCAGUAACAUUUUUUUCUAAUUUUUUAUUUUUUUCCUCUUCCGGUAAGAUAACAAGGCGUACAUACAGCGUAAUGAUGUCACAUCUGCACGCACAGUGCAACCUUUGACAGGACAGUAAAAUAAGUGAGCAAGGGCGCCAUCUAGUGACAAUAUUUAACAGGAGGGGAAAAUUCAUGAAUUACAUGGAGUGAGCCACUACCGCUUUGUUAGUUUGUUGACGGCACAGGCAUAUGUACAACUUGCUAUGCAGUUGUUCUGGUGAAAUUAGACAACUCUGCGCAUGUCCAAAUGCUUCUAAUCUGAAUUAAAUUUGGUGCAUGUAUAUGCACGUCAUGAUCGGAUUAUUGAUUUUGCGCCCAUAUAAACACUGGAUUCAUAUUAUCCGAUCCCUCAAAUUUUUAAUCGGAUCAAGAAACUUUGCACAUGUGAAUGUGGCUAAUGAUUGAUUCUUGCCCAGUGCUCAUACACUGGGACAAGGAGCUAUAACCAUAUCUUGACUUCACUGUGCAUGUUACCGUACUGUCUGGAAGUUUGGCAGCUCUUUAUUUGGCUGCCUUGGACUGAUGAUACUGUAAUACCGCCACCCCUGAAAUGAACUGUCCUUAGGAAGCAAUGUACUUCUCACAAGACAGCACAUCAGCUCAAUGAGUUACUUAUCGUGCUUUAGUGUCAUGAGGUCUUGUGGCACAAGAUCUCAUCACACCUUUGUUUAACUCAGCAAUGCAAUGCUACAAUUGUAAGUUUCUAAGGGAACAUUAAUAAGAUAAGAUAUGAUGAGAUAAAAUGAGACGAACUUUGUUAAUCCCGAGGGGAAAAUUUGAUGGAGACUAGUUCAGAACCAGCGAACAACUCUCCACAGCAGUGCAGUUUGUAGGUGCAGUAAAUGACUAUUUGUACUUUUAUGUUACACCUUAGUUGAUGUUUGACACUUCCACCUCUGGCAGUCUUCACUUGGCCAUAUCAAUCUGCUUUUAUCGAGUUUCCUGAGGUUGACGUCAGUUGUGUCCAGAGUGCAUUGAGUCACUCUUGUCACCACCUCGUCUUUGUGUUGGUGCCCUUAGUGGCCUUGUAUAAAGAGCCCUUAUUACAUGAUGUCAGAUGUACUUCUUCAACUUUACCUCACACCCAGAGUCCCUUAUUGCUGAUAUCAUACACUGAGGUCUUACAGGGCUUAACCCUGAACACCCAAACAUAAAAGUGCGCUUGAAAACUGUCUGGACUUUAUCUUUACAUAUUAUAUGCACUUUUAUUGGAUGGACCUACAUGUAGGAGGAUGUCUGCCUGUCUGACUCACUCCUUGUCUGUCUGACCACCCCCUCCUUCGAGCCUGCCAGCACCCUCUUUGUGUCUCCAGCCAUCUCUUCUUCCUCCUCUUCCGACUGUGUUUGUCUUAAUCAUUGCUGAGGUGAUGUGGGCCGGACAAAGACAGUGGAUAAUGUGAUUAGAAGAGGCUCAGGCGCAAAGUCUCCGCUCUGAUCGUUCCAGUCAUCAGGGACUUCUGUCACAUUUGUCAGGGAUUUGGCAUAAAAAAAAGGCCUCAACAAGAUCUUCUUGUUAUUUACGGAGUUUGAGCCUCACCUCACUUUUUCUUUGCCUUGUUUGUGUGCUUAAUGUGCACCAGUCAUGCCUGGAUUUUUGCAUGCAGGCGCAAUACCCAAUCCAGAAUUGUAUCAGUCAAAUAGUAUUUCACUGUUAAAGGCAUUUAAGUCUUACUUUGUUUAGCCUGUGAGGGGGUAGGUGUCUGCUGAGCAGCAAGACAAACAGGACUGCUUUUGCAAUUUCCAGAUUGGAUGUUUGCAGCUUAUGAUACAUUUCACAGACUGUAAGCUAAGGUUACUCAAUCCACAGGGGGUGCAAAAUAGAUAAACCAACCAGUUUUCCACAGGAGCUUUAAGAUGUGCUUUUUUCAACCAUAAAAUCAAACCAUUCCCCUUUUUGCCGGUGAGUGCCAUCAUCCUUGCUAGUUGUAGAUAUUUCUAUCACUGUAGGCCUAAAAUGCAAGUCAUAUGUUAUGUCUAAGCUGUGAUGCAGCUGUAGCUGCUCACUGCUAUAAUGCUCUACUACCAAUAUGUUGGCAAACAUAUACACUAUAUCAGAAGGUGAAGUGUAGCACGGUGCAGUUUGGUAGUACUUUGAUCCAGAAAGUGCAGAUGAAGUUUAAGUAGUCUUUGUUUGUUAUACUGACCAGAGCGAUGUGUAACCAGCAUGAACAUAUGAAUGUUGACCUGCGAGAAUGACCCGAGGCUGGUAGUGUUUGCUCUGCUAAUGUUAGCUGCGUUUAGCAAACCAAUAUGAAGUCAUAUUCCGGCAAACUCUGUAAUCCUGUGUGUCACUACUUAAAGGUAAAAAGGUUUCAAAAGUAUCCAUAUAUAUAAAAAUCUUGAGUGCACAACUGUGGUAUUUUUCCUGUUCUUUUUUCUCCAAUCAGUUCAUUUCACAGUGCCACUCAAAUACGCAAUGUCAAAGGACCAGCAGAGCUACUAUUGAGCAUCUCUGAUACAUCAAUUGAUUAUUUUUUUACAUUUAGCAGUUGAUUUAGUGGUAUUACUGGCUUGUCUGACCUGGUCCAUUUAGAGUGGGAGGGACCAAUGCAGACUACUUGGCCCCCUUUAAGACAAAAACCCCAUGCAAACCAUGGCGACUCAAAGAAUUCUGCCCCAAAGACAAGCUUAGCAUAGACAAACAAGCCAGCAGAUGCACCAUAAUGGCAGACAAAUUCAGUUCUCCAAAGACAAAGCAUGCUUAUGUCCAAAGGGUUUUGUCUCAAUGACACAAAACAUUACAAACUGUCUGCUAAAAUGCAAGCAACUUGUGUCCCCCAACGGAUGAAUGAAAUUGUCAGUUUAUAGGAGGCAGCUCUAGUACUUUCAUAUCUGUUCCUAAUCCAAAUGUAAAAGGACAAUGAGUGUGUUUCCCAGGCCUCCAGAGGCUGCGCACAUGAAUGAAGUAUUGGAUCAGGUAAGCUGGGAGAUUCAUCCCUCCAUAUACUGCAGCUGGCUCCUGGGAAUUGUGGGUUGUGUGUUUGCCACACUGCUGGGGGGUUUGAGGUGAGGAAGGGGAAGAGAGUCUUUCGUCAGGAAAAAAAUGAAGGGGGUUUAGACAUGACAAGCGUGUCAUUAAUCACAAGAUUCUCCAGGCAGGAUUGAUGGAUCUACCUGCGCUCAAUGGAAGGAACCAAAGGGAUGGACAGGGGUAGCCAUGGGAAUAGGAGAGAGAGCGAGUGUGUGUGUAUAUGUGUGUGUAUAUGUGUGUGUGUGUUUGCUUCUGUGUUACUUCUGUGGCUUCAUUAUUGCCCAAUUCCUUAUUCCCUCUGCCUUCCCUGGCUCUGGCCAUUUACAGUAAGCCCCUCUGGCAGUUACAUCCAUGACAGGUACAGAGAGAGAAACACACUCUGCAGGAAGCAAAUCUGUCACCGUGCUAACUAAAACAUGUCAGUGUGGUGGUGCGGUUGUAUCUCGCAUGCCAGUGCCAAACGGAGAGCUGAUUGAAGCCCAAGGCUGCUGUGGUGGAGAGUUUAUUUUGUAGCUUUGGUGGAGAAAAAGGCGAGGAAGAAGCAGACGUUGUAUUUGCAAAGUAUGGGGAAAGAUUGGGGGAGAAAUCAAGGCGCAGCUAAAACUACGAGAUGUGGGGAAAUGUGUUGGUGUAUGUGUGUGUUCCUGGCCUCAGGGGAGCUGCGUCCUCUCUCAGGGGCUAGACUGAUCCCACCUGAGUCUCUCCCCCACCCCUCCAGAUGUUCCCCUCCCUUCAUCACCCAGUAUCACCCUUGUCUCCAUCAUCUAAAUUCAGCGACUCCCAUCUCUGCCUCUCAAUUCUGAUGCUACGUGUGUUGUACAUUCCUGAUGUAUUUCUGCAGUUGUAUAACAUUUGCGUCUUUGCCUUUUUGAACCACAUUAUCGAUUCGAGUAGCAAAGUAAAAAAGUUGAGCAGUAGCAUGGAUUUUUUUGUGCUGUGUUUUACUGCAGCACAGUGUUUCUACUCCAGCUUUUAGACCGUGCCACAAGAGGAGCAGUAUGAAUUCCCAUAUAAGGCAGGAGGACCCUUUCUAACCUCUCUCUCCUCCUCCUCCUCCUCCUCUCUCAGUCUUCUACCCCUUUGCUCCUUUAUUGCAACAAGCUCAUACUGUCUUCCCUUUCUGGUGCGACCGUGGUCUUAUGCCAAGGCUUAGACAAAAACAUAGGUAUAUUUUUUUCUGUUUCAGUACUGAUGCUUGUCGUUUUCUGUUUUCUGUCAGUUAUUCACAGGAGAGACUUGGUGUGGAGCUGCCUCUUGUGUUGACACCUGCCAAGAUAUCUGCAUUCUUAGGUCGUAGUUUCUUCUGCAAACACUACGAUACAGUAAAUAUUAAACCAAAGCUACAAAUCAAGCCUCACAAUUCCAAUGGGAGAGAUCAGGAGAGAGCGGAAAGCUUGCAGAGUGGGAGGUAGAGAUGGAUUGAAAGAUGAAGACAGUGAAGACAGAGAGAGAAAAAAAAAACACAAACAGAGCUGAUAAGACCUUCGGCAGAGGAAGUGUCGUUCUCAGCCGAUCCCCCAGUGGAUUUCCCAGCAUCCCACUCUUCCCCUGCUGCAGGAUGUAACCUCGUGUGGGAAUACGUAAGGAAUGUGACCCCUUUUGUUUAGCAUGCGAUAGGCUCCUGCUUGGCGGUCAUUUGUGUGUCUUAUGUGUGACAGGCUCCAGGCUUGGCAGAGGCUGAUCAGAGAGACACUCAACAGUCCUUUCUCAGUAAGACCCUCCUAGGAAAACAAUGACUGCUGUUAUGGCUGCUAUCUCUCAAAGCCCCUCCCUGGCUGAUGGGGCUCCUGCUGGGCUCUCACUGUGGCUCAUUUUCAUAUACUGAAGAC